GUGGGGAAUCUUGCGCAAUGGGCGAAAGCCUGACGCAGCCAUGCCGCGUGAAUGAUGAAGGUCUUAGGAUUGUAAAAUUCUUUCACCGGGGACGAUAAUGACGGUACCCGGAGAAGAAGCUCCGGCUAACUUCGUGUCAGCAGCCGCGGUAAUACGAAGGGGGCUAGCGUUGCUCGGAAUUACUGGGCGUAAAGGGCGCGUAGGCGGACAGCUUAGUCAGAGGUGAAAGCCCAGGGCUCAACCUUGGAAUUGCCUUUGAUACUGGCUGUCUUGAGUUUGGGAGAGGUGAGUGGAACUCCGGGUGUAGAGGUGAAAUUCGUAGAUAUUCGGAAGAACACCAGUGGCGAAGGCGACUCACUGGCCCAAUACUGACGCUGAGGCGCGAAAGCGUGGGGAGCAAACAGGAUUAGAAACCCCGGUAGUCC
rnacentral:rRNA from 1 species